rnacentral:rRNA from 1 species
CCCUUAGAUGUUCUGGGCCGCACGCGCGCUACACUGAUGCAUUCAGCGAGUCUAAAACCUGCUCUGAUAGGGGUGGGUAAUCUUUUGAAUGUGCAUCGUGAUUGGGAUAGAUGAUUGCAAUUUUUCAUCUUCAACGAGGAAUGCCUAGUAAACGCAAGUCAUCAGCUUGCAUUGAUUACGUCCCUGCCCUUUGUACACACCGCCCGUCGCUCCUACCGACUGAAUGAUCCGAUGAAUAUCAUGGAUUGAGGAUGCAAGCAGGUUCGCCUGUCUUCAUCUUCGAGAAGUGAAGUAAAUCUUAUCAUUUAGAGGAAGGAGAAGUCGUAACA